GUGAUUUCCGAGGCUGUGUGUGAAGUGCCAGAGAUUAGGAAACACAGAGGAGGUUAGCCAAUUCACCAAAGUCACAGAGAAAGUAGGUGGAAGAGCUGCAAGGAGGAUGUGAGGUGCUGAUUUGCAGCCUCGCUCACCCCUUUCUCCUGCCUGGAGCCAAGCCGGAGCCAAAGGGUGGCUUGUGACUUGAGCGCCUGCAGCCUGUCCUGGCAGACCAACAACAGCGUGAUUGAUGCUUCCUCUGCUUUUGUCAUUUAUUUGCCUUGUUUUUUUUUUUUUUCCUUCCCCCAACAGAGCUGAUAAGGGAGGUUUUGCUAGAGAAUCAUGUAUCUCGUCUUUUUUUUCCCUUUGACCAGUGAGAUGCAGUUCUCAUUACUCCAGCCACUUUUCAAGGGCAAGAAGAAGGAGGCAAGAGGUGGUGUGACUAGAACAGUUUGGAGAUUUUCUCCCUCAUCCUCCAUGGUGAGGAUUUUCUGUCCACGCCCUCAAUGGGAAAUUAAAACCCAACCUCUCCUACAAUGGCAUGUUCAGCAAACCUUCUACUGCUGGAAUCCAAUUCAUCAAUUAAAGAUCAGAGUAGCGGAUCUGGAUAUUGUGUUCCCCCUUCAGCUGACCACUGCGGGCUGGCGGGGAGGAGGGCCAGGGGGAGGGCAAAGAGAGGGAGCCAGAAGGGGGAGGGAGGGAAUUGGGAGGGGUGAGCUCUCCAUGUGACUGUCUCCCUCCCAGCACCCCCCCUCCGCCCCCGGCUUCCAAAUCGUAAAUUAACAACAGUGGACCUUGUUAAGUGCAGCUUCACAAAUUAAUAUGAAAUAUAGUGCUUUUUCAUAAGCUUGAGAACCAGAUUUAAAAGCAUAUUGGUGUUUGUACACAGCAGGCCGUAAUGAUCCAUUAUCCUGCAGACAGAGGAGCUUGCAGCAACACAUAAAGAAGAUGCAAUUGGGCCAUCUGCUCGGAUUUCUGCAGCGUCCCCAGAGAUCCGAGGGAGGAGCUGACAGUCCUCUCCAUCUGCCUUUACAUUAUCAAUUACAGUUGAAUUAUGCCGCGUGCUGCAGGGCUGGCAGAUACGGAUGGGAGACUGUGGCACCUGAAAAAUAUAGAAGAAAAUCCAUAUGUUGGGAGCCAGCUGUUUAUUUACAAGUCCUUGACAUAUUUCCUCACUUUCUCGGCUGCUGCCUUUUUUAAGGUUCCUAGAGACAUUUCGGUUUAGUGUGAACUUGAGAAGAAAUUAGGUGUAGCAGCAUAGCACCACAUGAAUAAUAUUUCAGUUUCCUUUUUUACAGUUGAAAUGUGCACGGAGCAAAAAAAAAAAAAAAAAAAAAACCAUCAGGUCGAACAGAUUUUAAAUUAUGAAAAAAAAAAAAAAGUUGGGAAAACAUCUGGGGUGGCGGCCACAGCUUGUUAUGUUUAUAAAACAUGUUGGAGCAGGCGGGGCCCGGCGCACUGUACAUUUUUGGCAGCCUAGACAUCACGUGUCAAACUGUAACUUUUCCGAAAAGGCAAGUGUUUGCAAAGCCCGGGGCGCGGGGAGCUAGACCGUGUGGCCGGCGCUUUCGGGGAGUCUCG
rnacentral:lncRNA from 12 species